GCUAGAAUAGCUCAAUUGGCUGGUUAUAAUUAGAGCGUGUGGCCCUUAACUACAAGGUUGAAGGUUUAAGCCCUCCUUCUACAUU
rnacentral:tRNA from 1 species